rnacentral:sRNA from 1 species
AGCUUCCCCUUCUGUGUGAGUGCUGGGCUGGAGUGUGGAGGAGCCAUCCAGAGACAGAAGUGGUGGUUGCUGACGCCUGGAAAUUCCCCUGAAGGUGGAGCACCACCCAACCCCCCUGGGUCCCACCCUCCCUCAAGGCCUCCUCCACCUCCACCUCCACCCCGCCUGGCCUGGCGUCCACCUCUUCGGCUCCUACCUGGGUGCGAUCGAGUUAAAUGGCUGAUAAGCAGAUCAGCCUGCCAGCCAAGCUCAUCAAUGGCGGCAUCGCCGGGCUGAUCGGGGUCACCUGCGUGUUCCCCAUCGACCUGGCCAAGACCAGGCUGCAGAACCAGCAGAACGGCCAGCGCAUGUACACGAGCAUGUCCGACUGCCUCAUCAAGACCAUCCGCUCCGAGGGCUACUUCGGCAUGUACCGGGGUGAGGUUUAGCUCGGCUCGGCUCGAGAUGGGCAGGCCUGGGUAGCGCCCGCGAGUCGUGGCAGGGAGCGGUGGGGGAGGCACGGCAGGGCGGCCAGCCUGGGCCUGGUGUGUGAGCGUGGACGUGUCUGUGGGGGCUGUGCCUGUGCAGGGGGGACUGGAUCUCUGGUGAGUGGCAGUUCUCAGCCCUCCCGUGGCAGCUCCCCACCCCCACUUAGUGCCUGGUGCGUGGGAUGCCACGGUACAUCUGUCUCCUCUCUGGUGGCCGCAGCUGCCUCUGCCUUCUGGGACAGGCUGGACCCCGUCUGUGGUUGGGGAUGGGAGGGAGUAGGGGGCAUUACCGCAAAGCAGCUUAGGACACAAUCCGGAGCCUAGAUUGGGCAGAAGCUCUGCAGCCCUGAGCCCUCGGCACUGAGAUGGGGGCUCUCCACAGCCUCCCCCAAGCUCUGGCCCACUCCAGACCACAUGCUCCUGUGACCUCUGGCCCCAGCCCCCUGCCAGCACAAGCACCAUCUGUCCUCCAGGAAGGGAGGGGUAUCCUAGGGAGGCCUCA